rnacentral:rRNA from 1 species
CCUACGGGAGGCAGCAGUAGGGAAUAUUGGGCAAUGGAGGCAACUCUGACCCAGCCAUGCCGCGUGCAGGAUGAAGGCGUUAUGCGUUGUAAACUGCUUUUAUAUAGGAAGAAAGAGUUCUUGCGAGAACAGUUGACGGUACUAUAUGAAUAAGCACCGGCUAACUCCGUGCCAGCAGCCGCGGUAAUACGGAGGGUGCAAGCGUUGUCCGGAUUUAUUGGGUUUAAAGGGUGCGUAGGCGGUUUAUUAAGUCAGUGGUGAAAGACGGUCGCUCAACGAUUGCAGUGCCAUUGAUACUGGUAGACUUGAGUGAGAUUGAGGUAGCUGGAAUGGAUAGUGUAGCGGUGAAAUGCAUAGAUAUUAUCCAGAACACCAAUUGCGUAGGCAAGUUACUAAGUCUCAACUGACGCUGAGGCACGAAAGUGUGGGUAUCAAACAGGAUUAGAUACCCUGGUAGUCCACACUGUAAACGAUGAUAACUAACUGUUGGCUUUCGGGUCAGUGGUACAGAGAAAUCGUUAAGUUAUCCAACCUGGGGAGUUAGCGGCAACGGUUGAAACGUUCAAAUUGAAUUGACGG